rnacentral:lncRNA from 1 species
GGGAAAGUACCGAGGCAGCAAGACCCGCCCCCAGCCCCGGAUGCCUCCCGGCAGACCCCCAGGCGUCCGAACCACCUGUCGCCGCCGAAGCGAGCCACGUUCUGAGAGCAGAUACAACGUUGCCGCGUUCAAAAUGUGAAUAUUCUCUGAGGUUCAUUUUCCUUUCUGCCAACAAAUGAGACCGACGGGUGUGACCUGUUCAGGCUGAAGCUCUGCUGAAUCACAGGCCUUCAUUCCACUUCCUGUUAACUCAGAUAAGCUGGGUGGAGAAAGUGACAGUCUAAAUUUGAGGACAAUGAAAUAAAGUCUUUAAAUUUCUUCUGGUCCCCUUAAUUGUAAGUAGGAAGUGCUUGGUUAUUAAGGUAGUGAGAGAACUGAAGUUGUAAGUGAAAAGGCGUCAGAGGAGGGAGUCAGAUUUCCUCGCUGUGUGAUCUAUGAAGAGUGGUGAGGGGCCAGGGAUUUAACUCAGUGGUUUCGCCGCCUGCUGCGCAAGCGCAAGGUCCAGAGUUGGAUCCCCGGUACCAAAAAAAAAAGAAAAAAAAAAAAAGUGA